GUGUGAACAACGAAAAUAGAUACUCGUUUUUAUAGCGAGCAUUGGAGGCUACAUACGAGCCCGCAAAAUCGUUCUCACAAUGCACAAGCCAGAUCGAUAUUUAGCCUGUGGGCAAUUCGAAGCAGUCCAAACGUUGCCAAACCACUGCUAUACUCGAACAGUAACAGGUUUUUUCCACACCAGUCCUAGGUCAUUUAGCUUUGGGCCGCCGCAGCGGAGACCUGACCUGCUCACACAACUGGGCUACCGGUAAAUCUUGACCGAGAGAAAUACAGAGAGAAAUCAGGAAAGAAUUCGUAUUCGAAUGCAGCGUAGCUUAUUUCGUUUUCUUACCAGCUGCCGCCACCAUCGCUGCCCUGUUCGAUUCAGCAAGCCGAGAGUGAUGGCUUCAUUUUGCCAGUUUGCCGGUAAGGAAUAGAGAAGCUGAUUAUUCAAAACACGACAGGAGGUGCUGAUGCUCACGGGGUCGAGAAGGUUGUACGUCGUUGUUGCAGACUGUUUUCGCUUGUGCCAAAUACAUUACAAAUGUUAACGGAACAUUCCUGCCCGCUUAACAACAGUUCCUUUGCAACAAUAGUGGAGAUAUUGAGACUUCUAUUCACAACAAACCUUCUCAAAAUGCUUAUUAGCAUUAUAUUUAAAGCGUUUAUUUGUACAUAACACACUCGCUAUACCCGUAAGGUCUAGAAGAUGAAUAGUCUUAUAAUGGUAAAGAAGAAGUACGGUUAUUGCACACAUAGUGUAUCCAUGUAUCUGGCUGCUACUGCAUCGGACUUCAUUGAAACGCGUCCACCAAAGUUGCUCCAAGGUUUCUGGAUUCAUGGGCUCACUUUGUACGGCCAAAACGAACCAAAUUUUUCCCGCUAAUUCGGAGACGUAACAGAACAGCGAUAAAUCAAUAGAAGAAACCAAAUCCGCUGUCUUCGUCACAAAUCUAAAAAGCAUUGUGUUUUUACCGGAUUUGAUUUCUCUAUUUCGGCACAUAUACAGCUGGCAAUUGUCUAAAAUCUAGUUUGCACUUUUCAACAUACUGAUUAUUUUCGUCACGCAGUAAAAAAAUCCGCUCCUACUGCUUAAACUACUUAAAUUCAAUACCUGGCAUUCGAUUAAAUCAAGGCCCCUAGUAAAUUAUUGCUAUAUUAAUGUAAUUUAAUACUCCGUUUGGUUAAGGGCUUAUUCGAAAUCGUCGGCCAUUGUCAUUAGUCCAUUGACUGUACUCACUGUGUCGUAACGGUACUUUUUGAGUAGCUUCUUGAACGGUAGCUUUAUACAAUGCUAUUCAUCAUACCAAAGCCUCAUGGCCGUGGCACUUGCUUGCCUGAGAAGCCACUGGCACCGAGAGCUCCCCUCCUUCCCGCAUACGCAUAGAUAUUCUUGCCCGUUCAGGAAGACGUCUCUCAUUUCAGACUUCCUGUUUAGGUACGUCCUUGCCAAGCUCUGCGUAUAAUCUUCAUGUUGGGUUACCUUAUGCUGGUAUUCAUUGUCUAUUCGUGCACAGUCGAAAAAUAGAAAGGCAUUACUAACUGUUAGCCAACGUUCGAUUCGAACUCGACGGGUUCCGGCACCAAAAGAAACACCAAAAAUAACAUUUGAUGAGUGAAGUAGAAUGCCACGACCGACUAUCGCCAUUGUCCCUGUCGCAGGCGUUAGCAUAGUUGAACAGAGGCGAGUAGGUAUUGCUCCCUUUCUGCGACUAUUUUGCUUGAUACCAUUUACCCUGUCCGCGACUGCAGUUCAAUUCUGCUUGCCAAAAUUAAUCGGGAAUUGUUCGCGCACGCGAGAGAUAACUACCGGAGACGAAGUUCUCCGACAAGAAAAUCUCAUCGGGAAAUGGGCGUUGCCAUUGGCAGCAGCUGGUGGCAGGAACGCAGUCCGUGGGAUUAACUGAUCAGUUUCUGUCAACAUCGUUCAAUCACGUUCGCGACAAUAACAACCCGAGUUGAGUCAUUAUAGAAAAACCAUGGCCAUCAAAUAGUACUACUACCAGUGUCACUUGAAGAAAACAAAGGCCUUACUGAUAUCUCAACUUGGCCACAUUUUCAAAGUCAGGAUUCAUCUUGCUUGGUAGGUACUGCAAGCACGAAGAUGGAGCUUUAAACCAGGAAGGCGGUGCAAAAAAUGCAGCCAGUGAUCGUACCUGUAAAAGAGCACUCACUCUUUACCUCAACAACAACUCGAGCGCUUUUGUGCUGAAAGAUGUCGAAAGUGUCUCGUAACGACAAACAGCUACGUGACGCGCCACGCGCACGCCAGAGGACUUUGCCUCGAUAAUGUUAUAGCAGAAAUAUAAGAAGGCGUGACGAUUAUGAAGAUACUGUUUGCGCCUAUCGGUGGCCAUUCAUUGACCUAACUAGCAAGGUCGUCUGGGGAGUGUCAAGCAUUCGUUAUCGACUUCUAAGAGGCCGCGCGUACCAAUCGGCAUCGACUAUUAACGUUCGCGCUUGGUUCGUCUUAUAUGUUCGACUUAAAAGACAAUACGCUCAUUCUGACUGAAUCUCUCGUAGUCGUCCGAACAGAGGUAGAUAGCCACAAUGAUCGAAUGUCUCUCAACACGACACAAAGCGGACGCUAGAGUAAACCGAACGGUGCUUGUUGUGGUGAUGCCGCUGCUGCUGCCGCCGCCGCCGCCGCCGCCGCCACUGCCAUCGUUAAACAUUCGCGCAUAGUCAGAGAAGACGAAGACCGACUACAAGAGGGUGUGGGUUAACAGGAAACUAUGCCGGUCUGCCUAUUUGCCUGCACCUAUGUGGAUGUGCGUGCCUCGUCGUGACGGAACGUGCUCAUCGAGACAAAUAAAAUAGCAGAAACUCUACGGGAAGAAUGGAAAGAGAGGCUUAGAAGAUCUCGGUCAACAAUAGCAACGGGUAUGAGAACACAUGAUGGCAAUCAUAAAAAUUAAGCAAAGAAGCUAUCCGUAAUGGCAGAGAAUAAUCAAAACAAAAUGGCUAAUAAAACAGUUACUAUUCUUAAUCAAAGUUUAUUGCCACCUUGAUCGGGUAUUCGUAUCGCAAUAAUAAUAAACGUCCAAAAAAUGUUUGUGCCAGUCUCAGCAAUGGGACAACUAUCAACCACCAACAAUCGUACUAGCAACAAACUACGAUAUCUACAGACACAGGUGUUCGACUGGUUAAUAGUAAUCUUUAGUGUGUCAAAGUACGGUAAUAGAAACCUGUGUCGAGUAUUUUGGAACGAAAUUCCUAUUCGUAUUGCUGCAUAACUCCCCUUCUACUCCGAGCUUACAAUCGCCUCUGUGAAAUUUAGGCUGCUGGCAUAAUCGAUUCAUACCCCGAAAUGCCUAACUAUUUUCAAAAGAUUCUCCAAGGUUUUCACGAUCAAAAAAAGUACGACUUCAAGAACAACCCCAAAUAAUUCCUCAGAACACAACCGCUUUAGUCGGAACUCUGUUUUCGAUCGUAGGCAUCGAUCGUAAUCAAUCACCAAGUUCAAGAAAACAACACCCAUAUCUGUUUACUCUAAUGAAAUUUCGAAAUGUCUAGCAAGCUUAGAAUCGUUAGGCUUAGUUAGCAUUUCAAUUUGCGCUCUGAAAAUCGAUAUCCUAGCUGCUCUAUAUGUCAGCCAUUGCCACAGUAAGUAGUCGCGCGCGUGCUGCAAUGCGAAACGGUACAAAUGACUAGUCCUGCCAUAACCUAUACGUGUAGCUUCUGAUUUCCAGUGUGAAAUGAGCGUCCGCCCACGCAACGCAUGUCUUUACCUAAGCUGCCAGUAAUCGGUAGCAUAGGCGCAGCACCUCCGAUUAAAAAGAUGUAAUUUCGACUCGUAAACGGAUCGCUAUAGCCACGGCUGAGUUUUAAUAUUCACAGCUCACGCAAAUUAUAGGUCAACUAAAUGACAUAACUUUCAGCGCUUGCCAUGCCAAGUCAGCCAGACACAUGGCUGGCUAAUGGCCGCAUUCUGAAAAUUACUGAGCUGAAUGGAAUAAAUCCAAGAACUAAAGCCGAUCAUGUCUACUAUUCGAGUACUACUUGAGCGGAUCGUUGCUGAGUGUCUCAAGGUAAAAAAAUUACACUAGUCACAUAUGCGUGAAAUGCCAGCUGCAGCUCUACAGAGCGCGUCUAUGCGUUUAGUGGAAAGAACAGGUGAGCUCUUGCGUAUAGAACGGAAGGCCACAGAUGUAUGUCACAUGGAGGGGACGAUCCGUUACGACGAAAGACGGAACUAAAAGAUCGGAACACUCUAUCGGAUCGCUUCCUCGGCUGGACAGCGAACGCUGUCCAGCCGAAGAAGCGAUCCGAUAGAAUGAAAUUAAAGGUCGAAUCUGAAUUCUCGCUUGACUGCCCCUGCUCGAUCAACAAAGUGCAUGCAUGGUUCUGGCAAAGAAGCAGUGAAAUAAAAUCAAAACGGCAAACUCAUGAAAGCUGCUGAACUCCGCUGUCAAAUCGUAGAGCAUUCGUUCAAAAAUGAAGGAUUUGAGGGAAGUUAUUUAAAACAGAACAAAGCACCACACGAAUGCUUAAGCAUCUAAUCAAUGCUUGUCCUGACGUAACUGCAGUUUUCAGAAUUUAGCAGAUCUGUACCACAGCAGUAAAGGCAGAUCCAAUUUCUAUUGUUUUUUAUGUAGACAAGAACAUCGACGGUCAAAUGUUUGCUUGUCAUUAUAGUAGCCACAUAGAUUUCAUCUUUUUUGCAAUUUACUGAGCUUUUUCUGAAACUUUUGCCAAUAUGUACGCCGCCCAUGUGGUCAGUUUACUCUAGUACUCGUUAAAUUGCCUUCGAAUAUUCCAAGAAUUAUAAUGAAGAAAACAUCUGACGCUUUAGAUACCAUUUAGGUGCUGCCAUUCGACUCUAACGAUGUUUCAUCCGAACAGCGAUAUAGCAGUG